rnacentral:rRNA from 1 species
UACGUAGGGCGCGAGCGUUGUCCGGAAUUAUUGGGCGUAAAGAGCUCGUAGGUGGCUUGUUGCGUCUGCCGUGAAAGCCGUGGCGUACUACGGUCGUGCGGUGGAUACGGGCAGGCUAGAGGCUGGUAGGGGCAAGCGAAUUCCUGGUGUAGCGGUGAAAUGCGCAGAUAUCAGGAGGAACACCGGUGGCGAAGGCGGCUUGCUGGGCCAGUUCUGACGCUGAGGAGCGAAAGCGUGGGGAGCGAACAGG